GCGCGAUUAGCUCAGUGGUAGAGCGCUUCGUUCACAUCGAAGAGGUCGCUGGUUCGAUCCCAGCAUCGCGCACCA
rnacentral:tRNA from 1 species